AGGUUGUUCUGGCGGCUCAGCUACUUUGCUGGACGGCGCAAAUUUUAGGUCACCUACUCUUUGAGAAAAGAGCUCCAGCUCUCCUUGACAACCUUGUGGAGACCUUGCUGACAGCUCCAUUCUUCGUUUUACUAGAGGUUCUGAAAAAUAUAUGUGGAUACGAACCAUAUCCUGGUUUUCAUGCUAGUGUCAAAGUAAAAAUUGAGGAUGCCUGAAGGGAUUGAUCGAUAAACAAGGGGAGAACACCUUUAUCCCGUCUGCUUGCAUACUUAG